GACGGAGGAUGCAAGCGUUAUCCGGAAUGAUUGGGCGUAAAGCGUCCGCAAGUGGCAGUUCAAGUCUGCUGUCAAAGACCGGGGCUUAACUUCGGAAAGGCAGUGGAAACUGAACAGCUAGAGUAUGGUAGGGGCAGAGGGAAUUCCUGGUGUAGCGGUGAAAUGCGUAGAGAUCAGGAAGAACAUCGGUGGCGAAAGCGCUCUACUGGACCGCAACUGACACUCAGGGACGAAAGCUAGGGGAGCGAAUGGG
rnacentral:rRNA from 1 species